AAUAGAUACCCGGGUAGUCCACGCCGUAAACGGUGGGCACUAGGUGUGGGCGACAUUCCACGUCGUCCGUGCCGCAGCUAACGCAUUAAGUGCCCCGCCUGGGGAGUACGGCCGCAAGGCUAAAACUCAAAGGAAUUGACGGGGGGCCCGCACAAGCGGCGGAGCAUGUGGCUUAAUUCGACGCAACGCGAAGAACCUUACCAAGGCUUGACAUACACCGGAAACGUCCAGAGAUGGGCGCCCCCUUGUGGUCGGUGUACAGGCGGUGCAUGGCUGUCGUCAGCUCGUGUCGUGAGAUGUUGGGUUAAGUCCCGCAACGAGCGCAACCCUUGUCCCGUGUUGCCAGCAGGCCCUUGUGGUGCUGGGGACUCACGGGAGACCGCCGGGGUCAACUCGGAGGAAGGUGGGGACGACGUCAAGUCAUCAUGCCCCUUAUGUCUUGGGCUGCACACGUGCUACAAUGGCCGGUACAAUGAGCUGCGAUACCGCGAGGUGGAGCGAAUCUCAAAAAGCCGGUCUCAGUUCGGAUUGGGGUCUGCAACG
rnacentral:rRNA from 1 species